GUAGGUGGCAAGCGUUGUCCGGAAUUAUUGGGCGUAAAGCGCGCGCAGGCGGUUCUUUAAGUCUGAUGUGAAAGCCCACGGCUCAACCGUGGAGGGUCAUUGGAAACUGGUGGACUUGAGUACAGAAGAGGAAAGCGGAAUUCCAAGUGUAGCGGUGAAAUGCGUAGAGAUUUGGAGGAACACCAGUGGCGAAGGCGGCUUUCUGGUCUGUAACUGACGCUGAGGCGCGAAAGCGUGGGGAGCAAACAGGGAUUAGAUACCCUGGUAGUCCACGCCGUAAACGAUGAGUGCUAAGUGUUAGGGGGUUUCCGCCCCCUUAGUGCUGCAGCUAACGCAUUAAGCACUCCGCCUGGGGAUACGGCCGCAAGGCUG
rnacentral:rRNA from 1 species